UCAGGAUGAACGCUGGCGGCAUGCCUAAGACAUGCAAGUCGUACGAAGCGGCCCAUGGAAGUUAUUGAAGUUGAAGAGCUUGCUCAGAUAAUGGAUUUAAACGGACUUGGAUUACCGCUUAGUGGCAAACGGGUGAGUAACACGUGGGUUACCUACCUCCAAGACGGGGAUAACGGUUGGAAACGACCGCUAAUACCGGAUGUGGUCUACGGAUUAAAGGAGCCUUUAAAGCUUCGCUUGGAGAUGGGCCUGCGGUGCAUUAGCUAGUUGGUGAGGUAACGGCCCACCAAGGCGACGAUGCAUAGCCGAACUGAGAGGUUAAUCGGCCACAUUGGGACUGAGACACGGCCCAAACUCCUACGGGAGACAGCAGUUAGGAAUAUUCGUCAAUGGGGGAAACCCUGAACGAGCAAUGCCGCCGUGAGUGAUGAAGGUCCUUUGGAUUGUAAAACUCUGUUGUUUGGAAAGAAUUGUAAAAAUAGGAAAUGAUUUUUACUUGACGGUACCAUUCAAGAAAGCCACGGCUAACUACGUGCCAGCCGCCGC
rnacentral:rRNA from 1 species